CCUACGGGAGGCAGCAGUGAGGAAUAUUGGUCAAUGGACGAGAGUCUGAACCAGCCAAGUAGCGUGAAGGAUGACUGCCCUAUGGGUUGUAAACUUCUUUUAUAAAGGAAUAAAACGAGGCACGUGUGCCUUUUUGCAUGUACUUUAUGAAUAAGGAUCGGCUAACUCCGUGCCAGCAGCCGCGGUAAUACGGAGGAUCCGAGCGUUAUCCGGAUUUAUUGGGUUUAAAGGGAGCGUAGAUGGGUUGUUAAGUCAGUUGUGAAAGUUUGCGGCUCAACCGUAAAAUUGCAGUUGAAACUGGCAGUCUUGAGUACAGUAGAGGUGGGCGGAAUUCGUGGUGUAGCGGUGAAAUGCUUAGAUAUCACGAAGAACUCCGAUUGCGAAGGCAGCUAACUGGACUGCAACUGACACUGAGGCUCGAAAGUGUGGGUAUCAAACAGGAUUAGAUACCCGAGUAGUC
rnacentral:rRNA from 1 species